AACAAUACAUAUUUUUCUAUUUACAAAAAUAUUUGUAUCAGCUAUGCAAUUUUACAUCAUUUGUUUUGACCUCGACGUGCAAGACACAAAGCGAUUAAGUUUCAAUAAGAUAUGGAUAAAUUUAGCAUAGCUCACAAUAGGGAGUUGUUCCUUACGAGGUUUCAACAGUAUUGUAGAUCACAUAUAAUUACUUAUCUCUAGUUUCUUUUUCUUCUCUCGUAAUGUCAUUUUUUCCUUAAUCAAUUCUCCAGAUCUAUAAAAAUAAACACAAUAAUGACCCAUAAAAAAAGAGAAUCUCAAGGAGGAGAAACGAAAAAUUAAAAACGAAAAGAUAAAUGAAAUAAAUCUAAUCAAAACUAAAUCAAAC
rnacentral:lncRNA from 1 species